UCCUCGAUCGGAUAAUGCCUUGAAAAU
rnacentral:piRNA from 1 species